rnacentral:rRNA from 1 species
AUUUGCGCAUGGGCGAAGCCUGAUGCAGCCACGCCGCGUGGGUGAUGAAGGCCUUCGGGUUGUAAAGCUCUUUUCUUUGGGAAGAAGGGCGGUGGUCUCCUACGUGAUUGUCUUGACCAUUCCCUUGCAAUAAACCCCGGUUUCCACUGUGCCAGCAGCCGCGGUAAUCA